rnacentral:rRNA from 1 species
GAUCAACGCUGGCGGCGUGCAUAACACAUGCAAGUCGAACGAUGAAGAUUAAAAGAUUUCUUCGGAAUGAACUUAAUUGGAUUAGUGGCGGACGGGUGAGUAACGCGUGAGUAACCUGCCUUGUACAAGGGGAUAGCCGUUGGAAACGACGAAUAAUACCCUAUGACAUCAAAUAAUCGCAUGAUAAUUUGAUCAAAGAUUUAUCGGUAUAAGAUGGACUCGCGUCUGAUUAGCUAGUUGGUAGAGUAAAAGCCUACCAAGGCAACGAUCAGUAGCCGGCUUGAGAGAGUGUACGGCCACAUUGGGACUGAGACACGGCCCAGACUCCUACGGGGGGCAGCAGUGGGGAAUUUUGCACAAUGGGGGAAACCCUGAUGCAGCGACGCCGCGUGAUUUAGAAGGCCUUCGGGUUGUAAAAAUCUUUUGUAUGGGAAGAAAAUGACAGUACCAUACGAAUAAGGACCGGCUAAUUACGUG